UACGGAGGGGGCUAGCGUUGUUAGGAAUUACUGGGCGUCAAGCGCGCGUAGGCGGGCCGUUAUGUCGAGGGUGAAAUCCCGGGGCUCAACCCCGGAACUGCCUUCGAUACUGGCAGCCUAGAGGUCGUGGGAGGUGAGUGGAAUGCCGAGUGUAGAGGUGAAAUUCGUAGUUAUUCGGCUGAACACCCGUGGCGAAGGCGGCUCACUGGCCCGAUACUGACGCUGAGGUGCGAAAGCGUGGUGAGCACACAGG
rnacentral:rRNA from 1 species